GCCGUGGUGGCGCAAUCGGCUAGCGCGUGCGGCUUUUACAACGAGUGAACCGCAAGGCUGUGGGUUCGAGUCCCACCCAUGGCG